GGAAUAUUGGGCAAUGGGCGGAAGCCUGACCCAGCCAUGCCGCGUGUAGGAAGACGGCCUUCUGGGUUGUAAACUGCUUUUAUCAGGGAAGAAAAUAACGUUGCGACGGGACUUGACUGUACCUGAAGAAUAAGCACCGGCUAACUACGUGCCAGCAGCCGCGGUAAUACGUAGGGUGCAAGCGUUGUCCGGAUUUAUUGGGUUUAAAGGGUGCGUAGGCGGCCUUAUAAGUCAGUGGUGAAAUCCUGCGGCUCAACCGUAGAUGUGCCAUUGAUACUGUAGGGCUUGAGUACAGACGAGGUAGGCGGAAUUUAUGGUGUAGCGGUGAAAUGCAUAGAUACCAUAAAGAACACCGAUAGCGAAGGCAGCUUACUAGACUGUAACUGACGCUGAGGCACGAAAGCGUGGGGAGCGAAC
rnacentral:rRNA from 1 species